rnacentral:lncRNA from 1 species
AUACUAUUUCGAAAUUCAAACCCUAAACCCUAAAACUCAACUCUAAACUCUAAACCAUCAAUCCUAAACCCUAUUUUUUUAAAUACGAACCCUAAACCCUAAACCAUCAAUCCUAAACCCUAUUUUUUUUGAAAUAAACCCUAAACUCCGAAACAUCAACUCUAAACCCUAAACCCUAAACCUUCAACUCUAAACCCUAAAACAUCAACUCUAAACCCUAAACCCUAAACUUUAACUAUUAACCCUAA